rnacentral:lncRNA from 1 species
GGCGCUGUCAUGGCGGGUGUGCUGAAGAAGACCACUGGCCUUGUGGGAUUGGCUGUGUGCAAUACUCCUCACGAGAAAUUCAAAUAAGAAAAAUUAAAAAAAAAAAUUUGCAGUGCUUCGGACCUCACUUUGAAAAAUACUGAUUCAGGCUGGGUGGGCUCACGCCUGUAAUCCCAGCACUUUGGGAGGCUGAGGUGGGCGGAUCACCUGAAGUCAGGAGUUUGAGACCAUCCUGGCCAACAUGGCAAAACCCUGUCUCUACUAAAAAUAGAAAAAAUAGCCAGAGGCUAAGAAUAUUGUACACAAAGAUUCUUGAUGUUCUUGAGGAAAUCCCUAAAAAUGCAGCAUAUAGAAAGUAUACAGAACAGAUUACAAAUGAGAAGCUGGCUAUGGUUAAAGCGGUAAGUAGCUAAGUCAGUUUUGUUGUCUUGUGUAACAUUUAACCAAAAAAGUUUAGUUCCUUAUUUUUUAUAUAUUCGACACACUUUUCUUCUAUUCUCCUUCCUUGAAUGCUCUUUUCCCAUCAUUCCUCCCUUUUAUUCAGCAAACUCUUGUUUAUUGAGUGUUUUCUAUAUGCAGGCCUCUGUUACAUACUGGAGUUUGAGACUAGGAUCAGAUCCUUCCUUGAAGUAACAUUGUAGCUGUUCCUUUUACCUCUCUUC